UGGGGAAUCUUGCGCAAUGGGCGAAAGCCUGACGCAGCAACGCCGCGUGAGCGAAGACGGCCUUCGGGUUGUAAAGCUCUGUCAGGAGGGACGAAGCCACUCGGGUGAAUAGCCCAGAGGGUGACGGUACCUCCAAAGGAAGCCCCGGCUAACUACGUGCCAGCAGCCGCGGUAAUACGUAGGGGGUGAGCGUUGUCCGGAAUCAUUGGGCGUAAAGCGCGUGGAGGCGGCGUGUCAAGUCCGGUGUGAAAUCUCGGGGCUCAACCCCGAAACUGCACGGGAAACUGGCGUGCUAGAGUCCGGAAGAGGAGAAUGGAAUUCCGGGUGUAGCGGUGAAAUGCGCAGAUAUCAGGAAGAACACCGGUGGCGAAGGCGGUUCUCUGGGACGGUACUGACGCUGAGACGCGAAAGCGUGGGGAGCGAACA
rnacentral:rRNA from 1 species